rnacentral:rRNA from 1 species
CAGGUUUGAUCAUGGCUCAGGAUGAACGCUAGCGGCAGGCUUAACACAUGCAAGUCGAGGGGCAGCAUAAUGGAUAGCAAUAUCUAUGGUGGCGACCGGCGCACGGGUGCGUAACGCGUAUGCAACCUACCUUUAACAGGGGGAUAACACUGAGAAAUUGGUACUAAUACCCCAUAAUAUCAUAGAAGGCAUCUUUUAUGGUUGAAAAUUCCGAUGGUUAGAGAUGGGCAUGCGUUGUAUUAG